rnacentral:rRNA from 1 species
CGGGGUAGGGUAAGGGUGAGAGAGGGCCGUCGCCGCCGUCGCCGUGCAGCAGCAGGAGGAGGGGGAGCGGCAGGCGCGCAGGCAGGUUGUCUCCGACCCUUGGAAUUUCGCCUUGUCCCAAGUACCUCCCACCUCCGCGUUCUUUACAAAGACGUCGCCGUCGUGUCUGUUUCCUUUCACGCCUACUACCGAGGACGUUCGGUGACGGAGGAACGACACAGUUCCGCGUCCGACGACACCGCCUUAGACUCCGGUUCACGGUGCGAUGGCACCACAGACCCACCAAGUGUCCUUGGGCCAGUGCGAGACCGUUUGGUUCGUUUCACGUCAUGAAGUUGUUAGGUUACACCGGACCCCUCCGAGUAAGCAACUUUCAUCUCUUCUAAAACAUGGUCCCCUUUAGCGGUAUGGUUCUUCAAAAUCAUAAACUCAGAAGUUGGAUACCCUUACAGGAACACGAACUACCUUAACAAGUCGAGUGACUGUUCCUACUUACACGUAUGGUCCUUUACCAAUGAGUGGAACGUGACACGAGUUAAGGUAGAGGAUUUUUACAAAACCAACAGCCUCCACCACUACCACCACAUGAUGCUCUUUAUCGGUUCGUACUAAGUCACCUCUCAUAUCUGUAUACACUCUAACUAGUCGAUCAAUAAUUACAAACAUUUCUAAAAAAGGGUGCAGAUAUACAACCUAUAUUUCUGGGAGCACAGUUUGAAGUACAACCACUACGACACCUCAAGAACUCUUUGAGAGGUCUUCCUUUUAUACUACGGUAAUAACAACUAAGUAGUCUAGGUUAACCCGGUCGAGUCCUUGAACACCUCUUCGGGAAAAAAGUCUGUUAACGAUCCCGAAAUUUCGGACCGCCACAAGAAAGAUUAGAUCGACUUUCAUACACCGACGUGUGUGUAGAUUAGGUCCUAUACGAAAGAUAGACAGCUCUCCAUAAGUUCCCACCGCACGUGAUACGGACCCGUUCACAAGGUUGUAUAGGAUCACCACAGUAACCUAAAAACGAUACACGCUUCCUUCCAGGUGGCCACCUGAAGAAUUGAGGACACUUAGGUUAGCUCUUUUAACUUCCUCGAUGAUUUCUACCUGCUCUCUACUCUAAAAUGUUAAGUCUCUAAGUAUUCCGACGAAAAUAAGACGGUUGCAAACAUUUCUCCCUCGACCUCCGUAUAUUGAGAAGGUGACUUUUCCUCUCUGGCCUCUUCGGUUGGCGUUUUGGUCACUUCUACUUCCAUUACGCCCUGUCGCGAUAAUGGCGAAGGAUCUGGCGCCCGCCUGUGGACACACGAUAGGUAGAAGGGGCUACUCUGGGCGGCGUGGAAACUACUUAUUUCCUCGUUCGUCUUCCCCUACACACUACACAAAGGGAAUAGACAUUGUACAUACUACAAAGUAACAACGCGCUCAAGAGCACCACGUUCAUGGUCCUGGACGAUACAAUACUCGAAGAUUGCACGAGGGGGCAAGUGAUAAUAUUCUACAAGACUGAAGAAAACAGACUUAGUUUACAUAUAUCUGUGUAACAUUACACAGUAAGGUCAAACAUACUACAGGUAUACUUUUAUAGGUUUUGUAGAA